rnacentral:tRNA from 1 species
GGCAGAAUGUAGUAAGGGUUAACUUUUCGGUUUCAUGACCCGAAGAUGGCGGUUAAAUUCCGUUUUUUGCCA